rnacentral:rRNA from 1 species
GGGGGAAUAUUGGGCAAUGGGCGAAAGCCUGACCCAGCAACGCCGCGUGAAGGAAGAAGGCCCUCGGGUUGUAAACUUCUUUUAUGAAGGACGAAACAAAUGACGGUACUUCAUGAAUAAGCCACGGCUAACUACGUGCCAGCAGCCGCGGUAAUACGGGGGGUGCAAGCGUUGUCCGGAAUCAUUGGGCGUAAAGCGUUCGUAGGCGGUAUGUCAAGUCUGGUGUUAAAGCCCGAGGCUCAACCUCGGUUCGGCAUUGGAUACUGGCAAACUAGAAUGUGGUAGAGGUAAAGGGAAUUCCUGGUGUAGCGGUGAAAUGCGUAGAUAUCAGGAGGAACAUCGGUGGCGAAAGCGCUUUACUGGACCAUUAUUGACGCUGAGGAACGAAAGCCAGGGGAGCAAAUG